rnacentral:rRNA from 1 species
GGGUCAGUAGGUUGGUCGUGCCACCGGUACGUACUGGUCUAACUGAUUCCUCCUUCCUGAAGAACCGUAAUGCCAUUAAUUUGGUGUUGCGGGGAAACAGGACUGUUACUUUGAAAAAAUUAGAGUGUUUAAAGCAAGCUAACGCUUGAAUGCAUUAGCAUGGAAUAAUGAAAUAGGACGAUCGAUCCUAUUUUGUUGGUUUCUAGGAUUGACGUA